rnacentral:rRNA from 1 species
CCUGGGAAACAGAUAGCUAAUACCGGAUAAUAACAGAUGAUGCCUAUCAACUGUUUAAAGAUGUUCUGCUAUCACUCUUGGAUGGACCUGCGGUGCAUUAGCUAGUUGGUAGGGGUAACGGGCCUACCAAGGCGAUGAUGCAUAGCCCGAGUUGAGAGACUGAUCGGGCCACAUUGGGACUGAGACACGGGCCCAAACUCCUACGGGAGGCAGCAGUAGGGGAAUCUUCCACAAUGGACGCAAAGUCUGAUGGAGCAAAACGCCGCGUGAGUGAAGAAGGGUUUCGGCUCGUAAAAGCUCUGUUGUUGGUGAAGAAGGACAGGGGUAGUAACUGACCCUUUGUUUGACGGUAAUCAAUUUAGAAAGUCACGGGCUAACUACGUGCCCAGCGGCCGCGGUAAAU